rnacentral:rRNA from 1 species
CCUACGGGAGGCAGCAGUGAGGAAUAUUGGUCAAUGGACGCAAGUCUGAACCAGCCAUGCCGCGUGCAGGAAGACGGCUCUAUGAGUUGUAAACUGCUUUUGUACGAGGGUAAACGCAGAUACGCUUAUCUGUCUGAAAGUAUCGUACGAAUAAGGAUCGGCUAACUCCGUGCCAGCCGCCGCGGUAAUCCGGAGGAUUCAAGCGUUAUCCGGAUUUAUUGGGUUUAAGGGGUGCGUAGGCGGUCGGAUAAGUUAGAGGUGAAAUCCCGAGGCUCAACUUCGGAAUUUCCUCUGAUACUGUUCGGCUAGAGAGUAGUUGCGGUAGGCGGAAUGUAUGGUGUAGCGGUGAAAUGCUUAGAGAUCAUACAGAACACCGAUUGCGAAGGCAGCUUACCAAGCUACUUCUGACGUUGAGGCACGAAAGCGUGGGGAGCAAACAGGAUUAGAUACCCGGGUAGUC